rnacentral:rRNA from 1 species
UUGGAGGGCAAGUCUGGUGCCAGCAGCCGCGGUAAUUCCAGCUCCAAUAGCGUAUAUUAAAGUUGUUGCAGUUAAAAAGCUCGUAGUUGAAUUUCGGGAUCAAUGUUUCGGUCAUGCCGUUGGUAUGUACUGAUAUUAUUGAUUUCUCACCUUCUAAAGAACCGUAAUGCCAUUAAUUUGGUGUCACGGGGAAUUAGGACUGUUACCUUGAAAAAAUUAGAGUGUUUAAAGCAGGCUCACGCUUGAAUACAUUAGCAUGGAAUAAUGAAAUAGGACAUCCGAUUCUAUUUUGUUGGUUUCUAGGAUCGAUGUAAUGAUUAAUAGGGAUAGUUGGGGGCAUUAGUAUUCAAUUGUCAGAGGUGAAAUUCUUGGAUUUAUUGAAGACUAACUACUGCGAAAGCAUUUGCCAAGGAUGUUUUCAUUAAUCAAGAACGAAAGUUAGGGGAUCGAAGACGAUCAGAUACCGUCGUAGUCUUAACCAUAAACUAUGCCGACUAGGGAUCGGACGAUGUUAAUUUUUUAAUGACUCGUUCGGCGCCUUACGGGAAAC